rnacentral:rRNA from 1 species
GACGAACGCUGGCGGCGUGCCUAAUACAUGCAAGUCGAACGCAGUGGGGACGGGUGAGUAACACGUGGGUAACCUCCCAUCAGAGGGGAUAACACUCGGAAACAGGUGCUAAACCGAUACUGAUGGAUGGACCCGCGGUGCAUUAGCUAGUUGGUGAGGUAACGGCGCACCAAGGCCACGAUGCAUAACCGCCCUGAGGGGAUGAUGGGCCAAGCUGGAACUGAGACACGGCCCAGACUCCUACGGGAGGCAGCAGUAGGGAUUCUUCGGCAAUGGACGAAAGUCUGACCGAGCAACGCCGCGUGAGUGAAGAAGGUUUUCGGAUCGUAAAACUCUGUUGUUAGAGAAGCGGUAUCUAACCGGAAAGCCAGGGCUAACUACGUGCCAGCAGCCGCGGUAAUUC